rnacentral:lncRNA from 1 species
CGUCAGGGCCUCUGGUGAUCUCUAGCACAAAGAAUGGAGCUUCCCCUCUUCGACGUUGGUGGCUGCGGUAGAAGGUUUCCUGGUAUGUGUUUUAUGACCUUACUGCCCUUUGGUCAACAACCAGAGCUUGAGCUUCAGAGCCCAGCAAGGCAGAGCCACAGCAGAUCCCCUGGAAAUGGAGCAGAGAGCCAGGAAUCAAAUAUGGGUCCUCUUUAAGAUCGUCAACAGCCAGGCCCUGGGUUCGGUCCCCAGCUCCAAAAAAAAGAACCAUAAAAAAAAAAAAAAAAAAAAGAUCGUCAACAGCCCUUAAUAAUAGCUGAGCUUUCUCUAGCCUCUUGAUAAUAUUAGUUGAGACAAGAAGAUCCACUGUGGGUGGAACCAUUCCCUAGACAAGGUAUCCAGAACUGUGUAAGAAGAGGAAGCAAGCUGAGUAUAGGCAUGCUUGCAUUUACUACUCUUCUGACUACAGAUCUAUAGGCUGGUUUCCCCAAACUCCUGCAGCCGAGCCUUCCUGCUGUGAUGGUCGGUAGCAACCUGGACCUGUGAGCUACAAUGAAGCCUUUCUCUCCCAGCUUGUUUUCAUCAGGGUGUUUUUGUCCUGUCUCAAAACACUUCGCUGAGCAAAUACAAAGUAGGUUUUCAAAGAGGUAAUGGCUUUGUAGGUUGUUUACCUCUGGCCUCAAGUCAAGGAAGACAAGAUGGGUCCUGAGAUCUUAAUCUCAGGAAUACUUUCUGGCAUAGCUGUUUCAAGAAGCGAUGGUCCGCACAACACCAAGUCCUGCUGUCUUUUCGAGGGGCACACUUUCCACUCUGGGAGAUGCUGGCACAGAGGCAGGCCGAUGGUACGAUGGUACCACCCACCUCCCUCGUUCAGCAUCCAGUCACCCCAUCUGGGGACCCCGAAGGAGGAAGCACCUGCUCGCCCUGACUUGAAUCUGCAGAUUGCUCGCCAUCCAAAAUGAGUCACGGAGGCACUGUGCAGCGGAUUUAACUCACCCCCCAGGAAUGGACUCUUGGAAGGCUCCCGAGUGACUAGUUUCAAGUGUUCUGUCUCAGGCACAGGGCAUUUCAUCCCUCUGUG